rnacentral:rRNA from 1 species
CUGGCGGCGUGCCUAAUACAUGCAAGUCGAACGGUCUUUCUAUGGAAGCUUGCUUCCACUGAGAAGAUAGUGGCGAACGGGUGAGUAACACGUGGGUAACCUGCCCAUAAGAGGGGGGAUAACAUCCGGAAACGGGUGCUAAUACCGCAUAGUUUUCUUGAUCGCAUGAUUGAGAAAGGAAAGACGGCCUUUGUGCUGUCGCUUAUGGAUGGACCCGCGGCGUAUUAGUUAGUUGGUGAGGUAACGGCUCACCAAGACGAUGAUACGUAGCCGACCUGAGAGGGUGAUCGGCCACAUUGGGACUGAGACACGGCCCAAACUCCUACGGGAGGCAGCAGUAGGGAAUCUUCCGCAAUGGACGAAAGUCUGACGGAGCAACGCCGCGUGAGUGAAAGAAGGUUUUCGGAUCGUAAAACUCUGUUGUCAGAGAAGAACAAGUUGGAGAGUAACUGCUCCGGCCUUGACGGUAUCUGACCAGAAAGCCACGGCUAACUACGUGCCAGCCGCCGC